GAUGAACGCUGGCGGCGUGCUUAACACAUGCAAGUCGAACGGAAAGGCUCCUGCCUGCAGGGGUACUCGAGUGGCGAACGGGUGAGUAACACGUGGGUGAUCUGCCCAGCACUUCGGGAUAAGCCUGGGAAACUGGGUCUAAUACCGGAUAGGACGAUGGUUUGGAUGCCAUUGUGGAAAGUUUUUUCGGUGUGGGAUGAGCUCGCGGCCUAUCAGCUUGUUGGUGGGGUAAUGGCCUACCAAGGCGUCGACGGGUAGCCGGCCUGAGAGGGUGUACGGCCACAUUGGGACUGAGAUACGGCCCAGACUCCUACGGGAGGCAGCAGUGGGGAAUAUUGCACAAUGGGCGCAAGCCUGAUGCAGCGACGCCGCGUGGGGGAUGACGGCCUUCGGGUUGUAAACUCCUUUCGCUAGGGACGAAGCGCAAGUGACGGUACCUGGAGAAGAAGCACCGGCUAACUACGUG
rnacentral:rRNA from 1 species